AGACCCGAAACCCGGUGAUCUAGCCAUGGGCAGGUUGAAGGUUGGGUAACACUAACUGGAGGACCGAACCGACUAAUGUUGAAAAAUUAGCGGAUGACCUGUGGCUGGGGGUGAAAGGCCAAUCAAACCGGGAGAUAGCUGGUUCUCCCCGAAAGCUAUUUAGGUAGCGCCUCGUGAAUUCAUCUCCGGGGGUAGAGCACUGUUUCGGCUAGGGGGCCAUCCCGGCUUACCAACCCGAUGCAAACUGCGAAUACCGGAGAAUGUUAUCACGGGAGACACACGGCGGGUGCUAACGUCCGUCGUGAAGAGGGAAACAACCCAGACCGCCAGCUAAGGUCCCAAAGUCAUGGUUAAGUGGGAAACGAUGUGGGAAGGCCCAGACAGCCAGGAUGUUGGCUUAGAAGCAGCCAUCAUUUAAAGAAAGCGUAAUAGCUCACUGGUCGAGUCGGCCUGCGCGGAAGAUGUAACGGGGCUAAACCAUGCACCGAAGCUGCGGCAGCGAACGUAUCACUUAAAGCGAUUCAGCGGGUUACGAUUGACGGAGCGAAGCGACGUCAAAGCGUAUACAAAGUCGAGUCGGUUUAAGGAUACGUUCGUUGGGUAGGGGAGCGUUCUGUAAGCCUGUGAAGGUGUGU
rnacentral:rRNA from 1 species